CAAUAGCGAAUAUUAAAGUUGUUGCAGUUAAAAAGCUCGUAGUUGAAUUUCUGGGGGGCAUGUUGGGACCGCUUGAUUGCGCGUCCUUGACAAACUCUCCAUCCUUGUAGGGAGCUGGUCGGCCUUCAUUGGUUCGGCCUGUCGACCUGCAUCAUUUACUGUGAAAAAAUUAGAGUGUUUAAAGCAGGCAAUCGCUUGAAUACAUUAGCAUGGAAUAACGAGAUAGGACAUUUGGUCUAUUUUGUUGGUUGCGACCAAACGUAAUGAUUAAUGGCGACGGUUGGGGGCCUUUGUAUUGAGGUGGAAGAGGUGAAAUUCUUGGAUUUCCUCAAGACAAACUACUGCGAAAGCACUGGCCAAGAACGCUCNCGUCAA
rnacentral:rRNA from 1 species